UUUUUUUCCGUAAAAAAAUAUCAGGACUGCUCUUAUUAUUAUUUUUUUAUUAGAUAAAAGUCUACAGUUCAUAAACAUAAUCAAUGCCAUUCAAAUAACAGGCCGUGCUUAUUAGUGUUAUUUUUACUAGAUAACAAAACCAUUCAAGCAGGUGAUACACGUAAAAAACAACAAACACCUCGUUAGGUGAACAAAAUGUGUAAAUGCUCAACUAUGUGUUGGUUUACAAGAAUUAUCAAACCUUGCUGGUGACAAAAUCUUUAUUACUUGAUUCCCAUAUUAUGGUCCCAUCACAUGUGCAUACCUUCUUGUAGUUCUCGCCAACCCCAGCACUUCUAGCAAUUACUGCUGCCGUGAGACCACCAUUUGAUUUAUCUUCUGUUCCAUAUACCACCGCUGAUCUCCCAAUAAGAUCAACAACUCUUAGCUUCUGUUUCACACCUGAGAAGAAUGCAUCUCCUUUCUCAUCAACCUCUAAUGUUCCCAGGUCGCCAAGUGGCUCUUUUCCAGAUUCUUGAUCAGCAGGAUUAUACACUUGCCCUGUGCUUGCUGCACCUCUUGUCAGAUCACCAAACUCAUUGAUAGUCCAGCCGUGUUUCCCAGGUGACAACCCACUAAAGUUGGCUUCAAUCCUAGCCAACUCCAUAUUUACCUGAGCAAAGCGAACCACACCAAAAAUAUCUGGACCUUUGAAUUCAGCAACAGCAGCAGACACUAGAAAGUCUUCAGGGACUCCUUGGCCAAUCAACCUGGCUUUCCGACCUGUCUGCUCCAGAGCUUCAGUCAGCGUUUUUACUGGUGAAGAACCAAGAACUCUCACCACUUGAUUGCCCAAGUCCACCUCCACAUUUUUCACUCCAUUAACGGUCUGCAACUUAUUCUUGACAGAAUUAACACAACCUUCACACUUCAUAUCCACCAUGAAUUCUGUAAGUAGCUCGGGCAAGACUGCAUCUUCCUGAGGGGUGUGUUUGCGAUCUGAUGUCGGUGCGUCCAUUUUAACAGCGAAGGGAGGAGAAGCCAAGUUUUUUGCCAGGCCGAAGCGAGUUGGAGGGCGAAGGGAAGAAGAGGAGAUUGAGAGAAAAGAGAGGUUAUGGGGUUUGGGAUUAGGAGUUGAAGAUUGAGAGGAAUAGAGAGUGAAGGCCGCAGGCAAGGCAGAGGCUGCAAUGGCAGUCUUUGUUGUUGUCGUCACUGACCUUAGAAAUCCCAUUUUAUUAUGUGUUCUAGGCAGAGCGAAAUAGUUACUUUAUGUACUGUUACCUUCCUUUCCAGUUCUGGUUUCUGCUUUCUAGAUGCAUCUAAAGAUUUUUUUUUUUUUUUUUUUAAGUGCAGUCAACAAUUGCA
rnacentral:misc_RNA from 1 species